UGGGGAGUCGCCAAGUGGUAAGGCUGCGGAUUUUGAUUCCGGCAUUCGUAGGUUCGAUCCCUACCUCCCCAGCCA
rnacentral:tRNA from 1 species